rnacentral:rRNA from 1 species
GACGAACGCUGGCGGCGUGCUUAACACAUGCAAGUCGAGCGGAGCGGCGAACGGGUGAGUAACGCGUGAGUAACUGCCCCCCUCUCUGGGAUAACAGUUGGAAACGGCUGCUCAUCCCGGAUAGUGGGGGAUGACUCGCGUCCUAUCGGCUUGUUGGUGGGGUAUUGGUCAACCAAGGGGACGCCGGGUAGCCGGCCUGAGAGGGCGACCGGCCACAUGGGGCUGAGCUACGGCCCAAACGCCGACGGGAGGCAGCAGUGGGGAAGAGUGCACAAUGGGGGAAACCCUGAUGCAGCAACGCCGCGGGCGGGAUGACGGCCUUCGGGUUGUAAACCGCUUUCAGCCAUGACGCGGUAGUGGCAGAAGAAGCACCGGCUAACUACGUGCCAGCAGCCGCGGUAAUAC